GACGAACGCUGGCGGCGUGCUUAACACAUGCAAGUCGAACGGAAAGGCCCUUCGGGGUACUCGAGUGGCGAACGGGUGAGUAACACGUGGGUGAUCUGCCCUGCACUUUGGGAUAAGCCUGGGAAACUGGGUCUAAUACCGGAUAGGACUACGGCCUGCAUGGGUUGUGGUGGAAAAGCUUUUUGCGGUGUGGGAUGGGCCCGCGGCCUAUCAGCUUGUUGGUGGGGUGAUGGCCUACCAAGGCGACGACGGGUAGCCGGCCUGAGAGGGUGACCGGCCACACUGGGACUGAGAUACGGCCCAGACUCCUACGGGAGGCAGCAGUGGGGAAUAUUGCACAAUGGGCGCAAGCCUGAUGCAGCGACGCCGCGUGGGGGAUGACGGCCUCGGUGUUAACGUACUUCUACGUAGGUACGAAGA
rnacentral:rRNA from 1 species